rnacentral:rRNA from 1 species
CAAGGCUUGACAUGCACUGGACGGCUGCAGAGAUGUGGCUUUCUUUGGACUGGUGCCCAGGUGGUGCAUGGUUGUCGUCAGCUCGUGUCGUGAGAUGUUGGGUUAAGUCCCGCAACGAGCGCAACCCUCGUUCUAUGUUGCCAGCACGUGAUGGUGGGGACACAUAGGAGACUGCCGGGGUCAACUCGGAGGAAGGUAGGGACGACGUCAAAUCAUCAUGCCCCUUAUGUCUUGGGCUUCAAGCAUGCUACAAUGGUCGGUACAAUGGGUUGCGAAACUGUGAGGUGGAGCGAAUCCCAAAAAGCCGGCCUCAGUUCGGAUUGGGGUCUGCAACUCGACCCCAUGAAGUCGGAGUCGCUAGUAAUCGCAGAUCAGCAACGCUGCGGUGAAUACGUUCCC